UACGUAGGCAGCGAGCGUUGUUCGGAGUUACUGGGCGUAAAGAGUGCGUGGGCGGUUUUCUAAGUUUGGUGUGAAAUCUCCCGGCUUAACUGGGAGGGUGCGCCGAAAACUGGAAGGCUUGAGUAUGGGAGAGGUAAGCGGAAUUCCUGGUGUAGCGGUGAAAUGCGUAGAUAUCAGGAGGAACACCUGCGGUGUAGACGGCUUACUGGACCAUAACUGACGCUGAGGCACGAAAGCGUGGGUAGCAAACAGG
rnacentral:rRNA from 1 species